CCUACGGGCGGCAGCAGUGAGGAAUAUUGGUCAAUGGAGGCAACUCUGACCCAGCAACGCCGCGUGAAUGAUGAAGGUCUUCGGAUUGUAAAGUUCUGUGAUGGGGGAUGAACACAAUGACGGUACCCCAAUAGCAAGCCACGGCUAACUACGUGCCAGCAGCCGCGGUAAUACGUAGGUGGCAAGCGUUAUCCGGAAUGACUGGGCGUAAAGGGUGCGUAGGUGGUUUAGUAAGUUGGCGGUGUAAUUCCGGGGCUCAACCUCGGCGCUACCGCCAAAACUAUUAGACUAGAGUGCAGGGGGGGUAAGUGGAAUGCCUAGUGUAGCGGUGGAAUGCGUAGAUAUUAGGAGGAACAUCAGGGGCGAAGGCGACUUACUGGACUGUAACUGACACUGAGGCACGAAAGCGUGGGGAGCAAACAGGAUUAGAUACCCCAGUAGUC
rnacentral:rRNA from 1 species